AUUGAACGCUGGCGGCAUGCCUUACACAUGCAAGUCGAACGGCAGCACGGGGGCAACCCUGGUGGCGAGUGGCGAACGGGUGAGUAAUACAUCGGAACGUGUCCUGUAGUGGGGGAUAGCCCGGCGAAAGCCGGAUUAAUACCGCAUACGCUCUACGGAGGAAAGGGGGGGAUCUUAGGACCUCCCGCUACAGGGGCGGCCGAUGGCAGAUUAGCUAGUUGGUGGGGUAAAGGCCUACCAAGGCGACGAUCUGUAGCUGGUCUGAGAGGACGACCAGCCACACUGGGACUGAGACACGGCCCAGACUCCUACGGGAGGCAGCAGUGGGGAAUUUUGGACAAUGGGGGCAACCCUGAUCCAGCAAUGCCGCGUGUGUGAAGAAGGCCUUCGGGUUGUAAAGCACUUUUGUCCGGAAAGAAAACGCCGUGGUUAAGACCCGUGGCGGAUGACGGUACCGGAAGAAUAAGCACCGGCUAACUACGU
rnacentral:rRNA from 1 species